rnacentral:rRNA from 1 species
CCUACGGGAGGCAGCAGUGGGGGAUAUUGCACAAUGGGGGAAACCCUGAUGCAGCGACGCCGCGUGGGCGAAGAAGUAUUUCGGUAUGUAAAGCCCUAUCAGCAGGGAAGAAGAAAUGACGGUACCUGAGUAAGAAGCACCGGCUAAAUACGUGCCAGCAGCCGCGGUAAUACGGAGGGUGCAAGCGUUAUCCGGAUUUACUGGGUGUAAAGGGAGCGCAGGCGGCACGGCAAGCCUGAUGUGAAAGCCCGCGGCCCAACCGCGGGACUGCAGUGGGAACUAGCGGGCUGGAGUGCCGGAGAGGUAGGUGGAAUUCGUAGUGUAGCGGUGAAAUGCGUAGAUAUUAGGAGGAACACCAGUGGCGAAGGCAGCCUACUGGACGGUGACUGACGCUGAGGCUCGAAAGCGUGGGGAGCAAACAGGAUUAGAUACCCCAGUAGUC